GUAGGUGAACCUGCGGAAGGAUCAUUACAGAUUCAAGAUAGGAGCCAGCAGGGCGCCGCCAGCGGUGGGGACCACACGGGGGAAAACUUUCCCCCGCCCCAGCCGGGCGGCGUCACUCUGGCCGACUGAGAGCGCGAUCGCAUGGGCUUCUUUGCGUUUAUUUCGAAUGCUGAGAAACAGGCAGUCGUUCGAGCCAUCGGGGUGCAACAAAUCCCCGGAGGUCUCGGCGGCUGGUACCGCGGUUAAAUUC
rnacentral:misc_RNA from 1 species